rnacentral:rRNA from 1 species
UACAGAGGUCCCGAGCGUUGUUCGGAUUCAUUGGGCGUAAAGGGUGCGUAGGCGGUUAGGUAAGUUUGAUGUGAAAUCCUGGGGCUCAACCCUGGAACUGCAUUGAAUACUGCUUGACUAGAGUACUGGAGAGGAAACUGGAAUUCACGGUGUAGCAGUGAAAUGCGUAGAGAUCGUGAGGAAGACCAGUGGCGAAGGCGGGUCUCUGGACAGUUCCUGACACUGAGACACGAAGGCCAGGGGAGCAAACGGG